CCCGGGCUUCGGCGGCGGGGAGGGGCCUCGGGCCGCGCCGCCCCCGCCGGGGGGCUCGGCACGCCGCGCCCCGAGCGGGCUUGGAAAGAAGUAGGGGGCGGGGUGGGGGGUCCUGGCUCGGAACCCCGCAAGCCUCGCCUGGCCGGGGCUCCUCUCGCGCCUAGAACCAGCCGCAGACAAGGUUCAGCGUUCCAUCCGGCUGGCCUCGGCUCCCUCACUUGGGAAAGAACCUGAAGUUGCGUGCGCUUCCCAGCCCAGGUCUUUCUGUCUGCUGCUCUGCAAAACUUGGGGGCGUGUGUGUUGUUGGUAAAGAAAAGUUGCUCUCAGUGUCAAGCCACCUUCACUUCAUCUUUACUGGCAAAGGACGUCUGGGGUCGUCGUGGACCUUCGCCUUGCCUUUCAUUAUGUCACCGGUGGCUCUGUCUGGAGUUAGGGAAACACUCUUAGGCAUCCAAGGCGGGUUUCUUGGGUUUGUAAAAUGAUCCUUCGUGUUUACUACGCUGCUGGAGCUAAUGAGGUGAAUCACAAUAUGUCGGCGGCCCAUAUUGUGAUCAGUUAGGAAACCCUUUAAAGGUGUGAACCGGAUGGCAGCGCGGUCACCAUCUAAUGUUCUGGAGACUGCUAUAGCGUGGCUAUUUAAUGGGCUUGAGCCAUACAGUAUAUGGUGAAAACAUGUAUGAAUUUCCUGUUCGUGCAUAUAACAUGGAAAAAUCACUGGUCAGACUCCACACAGCCGCCCAAACACGCAAGCCCGGGAGAAGUCACUUACUGACUCUUGCUUCCAAAGUAGGGAAUAAGAGGCUGGAGAAGGGGGACAGUGGGUGGAGAAGGUGAAAUAGAUUUAACAGCAGAGGCACUUUUUUUUUUUCUUUCUGUUCUGUUCUUCAGUAUCUAGAACUGCUUUAGAUGUACAGUGUCUCCCCUGGGCUGAGGAAGCAGAGAUACAGAGCUUGUGUUUGGGGAAAGCUGGUGUGUCUAAAACCCUUACUCAACACUCAGAAAGCUCUGGGAACCACCCCAAGUUGCCUAAUGUCUGAAAUUAAAAUGCACUAAUGUCAUGCGUUUGGCUGUUGCCGUAUCUGGCACACAUUCUACCCAACCUACUGCAGCGAUAGGGGCAACCGAGAAGCAAAGGGACAACAACAUGCGGCCUUUAAAUUUCCCCCCACCCCAGUAAGGACGCUUUUGUCUCUAGACUAUGUGUAAAGGAACUGUCACUCCUAAGCACACAGGAAGAAUCAGCAACCCCGAGGCUCAUGAGCAAAAAGAAAUCACUUUUGUAUUAAGAAUUUGCCACUGCUGAUCAGCAGUUUUUCAUGCUGUGGAUUAUGUAUUUCAACAUAGCUGGCAAUUUCUCAUUAUAGUCGUGAACCAGCCAUGAAUAGUCAGCUUUGGUGACUGUCUGAGAAAGGAAAGGUCCAAGAAGAAAGAAGAAAGAAAGAAAGAAAGAAAGAAAGAAAGAAAGAAAGAAAGAAAGAAAGAAAGAAAGAAAAAACAUUUCCCAUGUACUUGGCUGCAAAAUAUGUCAAAAUGCCCUUCAUGCAAAAUUGAUAGUUUGAGGAUGAAAGGAAUGAACAGGAAAAGCUGAAUGUGAUAGAACACACCUGUAAUCGCAACAUGUUGGAAGCGAAAUCAGGAGGAGCACACAGUUUCAAGCCAACCUGGGCUACAUCUGGAGACACAGAGAAAACAGUCUGGAGGAAGCUCUGUUUCAAUGACAAGCACCAUCUAGUGGCAGCAGGUGAUGAAGCGGCCCGCCUCAGACAACACAGAUAAAAGUUUCUGAAGAGUUAAGACCUGGGCUCAUAGAUGCCUGCCAUCAAAGGAGAACGGUUCGAAGUUCAAACUCACAUUACACACCUCGUAAGCUUGCUAUUAAUCAUCGAGUGGAAGUAGGGCACAGAGCUGACCGGCACCUAGGAUUAUCACCGUAGGAUUUUCUGUCUUUGUGUAACUUUGACUACGUCCUAAAGUAUUUAAGUUGCUUUCAUUUCAUAAAAUAAAAAAAAA